CAUAAUAUUCACAAUAAGCCUAGAACCUUCUCUUUUGACCGUUGGAGAUUGUCGCAAAUGAGGAAGCUACAAACAAGAAGAAGUCACAUGUUCACUUAAGGAAGGAGCAUCCUUUGCUCACGUCGCUUUCACUCAGCUCCUUGUGCAUAAAAUAUCUUGUAUAUCUUGUAAUUGUUUAUUCUCUUUGUUUCCCUUUAAGUAGUUUGUAACUAGGUUAUUUCUAAUGUAUGAAAAGAGAAGUUCUCUCUUUCUUCACACAAAAACUCGCAAACUCUCUCAAUCUCUUUCAUUCAAACUCAUUAGAUCUUCUUUACACAAAUCUCUUUGAAAUCUUACAUGGUAUCAGAGCCAGGUUCCUAAGAUCCUAGCUAUUUUCUUUCUCUAAGUAUAAUUUCUUCUUUUCGGUUCUCUAAAUCCUUGAAAGCUUGAAGCUUGUUCUUGAGAUUUUUGGUCAUGGAUGUCAUGAAGAAUUUGGUUGUUCCGGUUACGCUCAAGGGAGGUAACUACUUGUUGUGGGCAAGAACCACAAAGACGGCUUUGUGUGGUCGUGGACUUUGGAGUCACAUCGAGAACGGUGAAGCUCCAAAGGAAAGCAAAGAUGGCAAGGAGAUUGUUUCUUGCGACGAAGUGAAGUGGUUUCAAGAAGACCAACCCGUUUUGGGGCUUAUCCAAAACUCUCUAGAGGCGCCUAUUCUUGAAGCAUACUCCUAUUGUGAGACAGCCAAGGAGUUGUGGGAUACACUCAAGAAUGUUUUUGGAAAUGUUACUAACUUGAAUCGGGUCUUUGAAGUCAAACGUGCUAUCAACAACCUCAGUCAAGAAGACAUGGAGUUUACCAAGCAUUUUGGGAAGUUUAGAUCUCUUUGGGCCGAGCUUGAAAUGUUGAGACCAAGCUCGGUGGAUCCGGUGGUUAUCAACGAACGCCGUGAGCAAGAUAAGGUGUUCGGUCUUCUCUUGACCUUAAACCCCUCUUACAACGACCUCAUCAAGCAUAUCCUUCGGUCCGACAAGCUACCAAGCCUUGAUGAUGUAUGUUCUCAAAUUCAACGAGAACACGGUUCCAUGGGGUUAUUUGGUGGUAAGGGGGAGCUUGUUUUGGCUAACAAUGUGGAGCUCGCCGCAGCUAACAAAAGCUACUAUCGAGGUCACAACAACAACAACAACAAGAGGAACAUUCCUACUUGUCACCAUUGUAAGAAACCGGGUCAUAUCAAGGACAAGUGUUGGGUACUUUACCCUCACCUUCGCCCAAGAGAAGACAACCGUGAGCCGAGGGCAAACCAAGCAAGUGCUUCCGGUGAGAUUCAAGCUCCGGAGACAAACGUGCAAAUUCUUGAGGAAAGUGGAGCAGCCAUGGCCGCUUCUUCUGACUUGGUGAGGAGGUCUGACCUUGAUGCUCUCAUCAAAGCUCUCAAGGAGUCGUCCGGUAAGGCUACUCUUGCUCUCAAUGUUUUAAAACCGCUUAUUGUUGAUUCCGGAGCAUCUCACCACAUGAUUAGUGACUCUAAGUUAAUUAGUGACAUUAAGCCGGCUAUUGGAAAUGUUAUUAUUGCAAAUGGAACUAGAAUACCGGUUAAAGGGGUAGGAGACUUACAAUUGUUCAAUAAGAAGUCCAAAGCGUUUUACAUGCCUAGCUUUACUUCAAAUUUGCUAUCCGUUAAGAAGGCUACUACCGAUUUAAAUUGUUAUGCAAUAUUUGGUCCUAACAAUAUUCAUUUUCAGGAUAUUGAGACAAGUAAGGUGCUUGGCCAUGGAGUCACUAAAGAUGACUUAUAUGUGCUUGAGGACUUGAACCUAUCCCCUACUCUAUCUUCUUGUUUUAGUUCUAUUCAUGUUAGUGCUAAUAGUACAAUUUGGCAUGCUAGACUUGGUCACCCUCAUUCUAGAGCCUUAAAUCUCUUAUUGCCUAAUAUGUCUUUUAAAAAUGAUGAUUGUGAGGCUUGUAUUCUUGGCAAACAUUGCAAAUCUGUNNNNNNNNNNNNNNNNNNNNNNNNNNNNNNNNNNNNNNNNNNNNNNNNNNNNNNNNNNNNNNNNNNNNNNNNNNNNNNNNNNNNNNNNNNNNNNNNNNNNAAGUCAAAAACUAUUUAUGAGAAUUGUUUUGAUCUUAUUCAUUCAGAUGUGUGGACAUCACCUUGCUUAUCUAGAGAAAAUCAAAAGUAUUAUGUUACUUUUAUUGAUGAGAAAUCAAAGUACACUUGGCUAACCUUGCUCCCUUCAAAAGAUAGAGUUCUUGAGGCUUUCAUGAAUUUUCAAAAUUAUGUGACUAACCAUUAUAAUGCUAAGAUUAAAAUCUUGAGAUCAGAUAAUGGUGGGGAGUACACUAGUCAUGCCUUCAAACAACAUUUGAUCAAGUAUGGGAUCAUACAACAAACAAGCUGCCCGUACACACCACAACAAAAUGGUGUUGCCGAACGGAAGAAUCGACAUCUCAUGGAAGUGGCGCGUUCAAUGAUGUUUCACACCAAUGUUCCUAAAACAUUUUGGGGGGAUGCGGUUGUAGCAGCUUGUUACUUGAUCAAUAGAACCCCAACGAAAAUCCUAAGCGAUCUCUCAACUUAUGAAAUUCUUAAUAAAAAUAAACCGUCUAUCAAUCACUUACGUGUGUUUGGAUGUGUGUGUUAUGUGUUAAGACCAGGAGAACGAAGGAACAAGUUGGAAGCACAGAGUACAAAGUGUAUGCUUAUCGGGUAUUCAUCAACACAAAAAGGGUACAAGUGUUACAAUCCGGAGACAAGGAGAGUUCAUGUUUCAAGAGAUGUGAAAUUCAUUGAGUCACACGGGUAUUAUGAUAAGAAGAAUUGGGAGGAACUCAAGAAUCUUUCCAACUCUCCAUCCGAUCGUGCAAACAACCUCCGGAUCAUCUUGGAAAAACUUGGUAUUGAUCUCUCUCGAGACAAAGAAGAAACCCCCGAGUCAAAAUCUCCGGAACAAACUUAUCAAGACCGAGAAGAAGGAGAGACAAGUAAUUCUCAACAUGAAGAAGAGGUGUUCGAAAAUGACAAUGUGGACCUUGAUCAUGAGAAUGGUGAAGGAGAAGAACGAUUAAACUCACUUAAUGAGGAAGUAAAUGAAGCGCAAGAAGAGUACAAUGACCCAAAUCAAGAAGAGCAACCUCAAGAAGAAAUUAUUGAGUUAAGAAGGAGUGAAAGAAUCAAGAAUCACCCAUCAAAUUGGAAGAAUACUCGUGUGUACUACAACAACAUGGCUGUGGCUCACCCAAUACAAGCCGUAUGCACUCUUGCACAUCUACCGAUGGAUCAUCAAGCGUAUCUCAUCAAAGUGGAUUCUCAUUGGAUUCCACAAAGUUACGAAGAAGCUAGAGAUCACAAGGAAUGGAGAGAUGCGGUUGUAGAAGAGACUAAAGCCAUGGAAUCAAAUCAUACAUGGGAUGAAGCGGAUCUUCCUAAAGGGAAGAAGGCGGUUACAUCACGUUGGAUUUUUACUAUCAAGUACAAGAGUGAUGGGGAGAUUGAACACUAUAAAGCUCGGCUUGUAGCUAGAGGUUUUACACAAACCUAUGGUGAAGAUUACCUCGAUACCUUUGCUCGGGUUGCAAAGCUCCACACGGUCCGAGUUGUCUUGUCUCUAGCCGUGAACUUAGAAUGGGAAUUAUGGCAAAUGGACGUUAAGAAUGCUUUCCUUCAAGGUGAACUAGAAGAUGAAGUUUACAUGAGACCUCCACCGGGUUUGGAAGACAUCAUAGGACCGGGAAAAGUGUUGAAGCUCAAUAAAGCUAUCUAUGGCUUGAAACAAUCUCCGAGAGCGUGGUAUCACAAGUUGAGCACUACCUUAAUGGAAAAGGGAUUCAAACGGUCCGAAGCGGAUCACACACUCUUCACAUUGACCAGCCAAGAAGGUAUAGUGGUCAUUCUUGUUUAUGUUGAUGAUAUCAUCAUAUCCGGGAAUGACAAGGUAGGAAUUCAAAACACUAAGUCUUUUCUAAAAUCUGUAUUUGAUAUUAAAGACCUUGGUGAACUUAAAUAUUUCCUUGGUAUUGAAGUGUGUAGAUCUAAAGAAGGUCUCUUCUUAUCUCAAAGAAAAUAUACUCUUGACCUUUUGAAUGAAGUUGGUAAACUAGGUUCAAGACCGGUGGCAUCACCACUAGAAGUGGAUUUCCAAAUCAACCGAGAGGGGGAGAAAGGAGAUCAACCAUAUGAAGAUGCAUCUCAAUAUCGACGUCUAGUAGGUAAGCUUAUCUAUUUAACUAUAACAAGGCCUGAUAUUUGCUAUUCCGUGAACCAGGUGAGUCAACAUAUGCAAGCUCCAAAGAUGCAUCAUUGGAGCAUGGUGAACCGGAUACUCAAAUAUCUCAAAGGAACACCGGGGCAAGGCAUAUGGAUGGGUUGCAACAAGAGUACGGAGUUGAUUGGUUAUUGUGAUGCGGAUUAUGCCGGGGACCAUGGAGAUAGACGCUCAACAUCCGGCUAUUGCACCUUCGUUGGGGGAAACUUGGUGACUUGGAAGAGUAAGAAGCAAAAGGUGGUUUCACUAUCUAGUGCCGAAUCGGAGUAUCGGGCAAUGAGGAAGCUUACAACCGAAUUGAUGUGGCUUAAGGCACUUCUUAAAGAUCUUGGAGUAGAGUCAACCAAACCAAUCACCAUGCAUUGUGACAAUGAGGCAGCCAUUCACAUAGCAUCUAACUCGGUGUUUCAUGAACGAACAAAACACAUCGAAGUUGAUUGCCACAAGGUGCGAGAACAAGUUGGUCUUGGGGUAAUUCUGCCGUGUUACACCGAAAGCUCUGAGCAAUUGGCCGAUAUCUUCACUAAAGCAGCCAGCCCUCAAGUGUGUGAGUAUAUCCACUCCAAACUUGGCCUCAUGGACCUAACUAAGCCGUGAUACCCACACUCUUUUUCCCUUAGUAAAGUUUUUCCCAAGUGGUUUUCUUUGCUAAGGUUUUUUUUAAUGAGGUGGGUGUUCUUAGUGUCAAGCUCAACCAUCAAAGUCUUGAUGUUUAACCUUGAGGGGGAGUGAAAAACGGAACACCAUUUCCACCACGAGACCGAUCGAUCACCUUCGAUCCGGAUCGAGUGAUGCUUCUCGAUCGACCGUACAACCCGACUGUCCGUACAACCAAUACGUCCGUACAACCUCGACUUGGCCCAUUUUCUCAUAUGUGUUAGGGCCUCUUUGGGACUUACUUGGUGGCCUCAUAAUAUUCACAAUAAGCCUAGAACCUUCUCUUUUGACCGUUGGAGAUUAUCGCAAAUGAGGAAGCUACAAACAAGAAGAAGUCACAUGUUCACUUAAGGAAGGAGCAUCCUUUGCUCACGUCGCUUUCACUCAGCUCCUUGUGCAUAAAAUAUCUUGUAUAUCUUGUAAUUGUUUAUUCUCUUUGUUUCCCUUUAAGUAGUUUGUAACUAGGUUAUUUCUAAUGUAUGAAAAGAGAAGUUC
rnacentral:lncRNA from 1 species